GUAGAUAGGCUUUGUACGCGGGUGGUCUUGCGCCACGAUGCCGGAGUUGGGUGCCGGAGUCACAUCAAGGUCGCAAGAUCGAAACCCAUCAGGAACGGUUCGGCUCCGUUACCUGUGUAGGCACUGAACAUACUUGUGCCGAACUUCCCCGAAAGAGUGCCAUCUCGGCCUUCCUAGGUCGCUGCUCUACGGGUGAGGACGCUGGUGCGGCGGGUUCUGAUGGUUUCCCCGCGAGAGCUAUCCUGCUUUCUAGAAGCCGGUCUGCGAGCCAGUUGGCGCUGAUGCGCCGGGGCAGGAGGAGGCCCCUGAUUAGGGAAUGUGCGUCACCCAGCGCCGAUCUGCGAGCCCGUGUUUCGAGGCGUUACCGUGGCCCAGUAUGGCCGAUGGUUGCAGACAACCCCCCUCCCCCAAAUUCGCUAGCCCGCCCGUGGGCUUUGUACGCGGGUGGUCUUGCGCCACGAUGCCGGAGUUGGGUGCCGGAGUCACAUCAAGGUCGCAAGAUCGAAACCCAUCGGGAACGGUUCGGCUCCGUUACCUGUGUAGGCACUGAACAUACUUGUGCCGAACUUCCCCAAACGAGCGCCAUCUCGGCCUUCCUAGGUCGCUGCUCUACGGGUGCGGACGCUGGUGCGGCGGGUUCUGAUGGUUUCCCCGCGAGAGCUAUCCUGCUUACUAGAAGCCGGUCUGCAAGCCAGUUGGCGCUGAUGCGCCGGGGCAGGAGGAGGCCCCUGAAUAGGGAAUGUGCGUCACCCAGCGCCGAUCUGCGAGCCCGUGUUUCGAGGCGUUACCGUGGCCCAGUAUGGCCGAUGGUUGCAGACAACCCCCCUCCCCCACAUACCUAACCCGCCCGUGGGCUUUGUACGCGGGUGGUCUUGCGCCACGAUGCCGGAGUUGGGUGCCGGAGUCACAUCAAGGUCGCAAGAUCGAAACCCAUCAGGAACGGUUCGGCUCCGUUACCUGUGUAGGCACUGAACAUACUUGUGCCGAACUUCCCCGAAAGAGUGCCAUCUCGGCCUUCCUAGGUCGCUGCUCUACGGGUGAGGACGCUGGUGCGGCGGGUUCUGAUGGUUUCCCCGCGAGAGCUAUCCUGCUUUCUAGAAGCCGGUCUGCGAGCCAGUUGGCGCUGAUGCGUCGGGGCAGGAGGAGGCCCCUGAUUAGGGAAUGCGCGUCACCCAGCGCCGAUCUGCGAGCCCGUGUUUCGAGGCGUUACCGUGGCCCAGUAUGGCCGAUGGUUGCAGACAACCCCCCUCCCCCAAAUUCGCUAACCUGGGUGAACCGGGGCACGCUGCAGCGGGAGCCAGGACCGGCGUCUUCCGGGCGGCGGCGGCUGGAGCUGUGGGCGCAUCUACACAGUGGAGAGACCUGCUUGGCGAAUGCAGUCUGGCGAAGGCAGUCCAGCGAAGGCUGGCUGGCGCAGGCCGACUAAGCGAAGGCUGGCUGGCGCUGUCUGCUGUGCUAGGGUGUUGCGAGGCUGUGUGGACUUGGUUGGGCGGUGGGCGUGCCUGCACCGCCUGUGCUAGGUUGCGGGCGCUGUGGCUUGUGUUGUCUGGUGGGUCGGACCGGCUGAUCCUCGUGGUUCAGCGAACUUGCACGGCCCUGGGCCGUCUACAGGAUGCAGCUUCGGGCUGCACCCAACAGUGUGAGGGCCCUGCCCUGUUGGUGCUGGUGUUUUGGGGUAGGAGUUGCACUUUG
rnacentral:lncRNA from 1 species